rnacentral:rRNA from 1 species
UAAUACGGAGGAUGCAAGCGUUAUCCGGAUUUAUUGGGUUUAAAGGGUGCGUAGGCGGGAGAUUAAGUCAGUGGUGAAAUCCUGCAGCUCAACUGUAGAACUGCCAUUGAUACUGGUUUCCUUGAGUGUAGUUGUAGUGGGCGGAAUGUGUAUUGUAGCGGUGAAAUGCUUAGAUAUUACACAGAACACCUAUUGCGAAGGCAGCUCACUAAACUAAUACUGACGCUGAGGCACGAAAGCGUGGGGAGCAAACAGGAUUAGAUACCCUGGUAGUCCACGCCGUAAACGUUGAUUACUCGAUGUGUGCGAUACACUGUACGCGUCUGAGCGAAAGCAUUAAGUAAUCCACCUGGGGAGUACGGUCGCAAGAUUG